GCCAGAGCAGCUCCCUCAUACAGACUCCGCAAGCCAAGAGGCCGUGGAGGCAAAUGCAGGCAGACAGCACACCUCGAACAGCCACCUUGACUGCGGGUGUGUCACCCUAGUCGCCAAGGAAACAUUUGAGGGAAAGCGACAGGCAAUGUGAACAGCCACUUCUCCAUGUAAACGAUACUCUUUCUCUCGGAUGACUACUACGCCUCGCCUCGCCAGCACACUUGUGCACAAAGAUGCUGCGGAGGCACGUGCAGGUCAGAGGCAAGAAGCAGUGGUACUGGUGUCGACAUUCACCGAAUUUCUUUUUCUUACACUGAGGCAGCCAGCACACCUCGAACAGCCACCUUGACUGCGGGUGUAUCAGUAGAUUCCUGUUGUACAUAUGCUCAUAAUAAACUUCAGUAAACUUGAACUUGAUAAUAAACUUGAAGGCAAAUGGUA
rnacentral:lncRNA from 1 species